AUUGAACGCUGGCGGCAGGCUUAACACAUGCAAGUCGAGCGGGGGAAGGUAGCUUGCUACCGGACCUAGCGGCGGACGGGUGAGUAAUGCUUAGGAAUCUGCCUAUUAGUGGGGGACAACAUCUCGAAAGGGAUGCUAAUACCGCAUACGUCCUACGGGAGAAAGCAGGGGAUCUUCGGACCUUGCGCUAAUAGAUGAGCCUAAGUCGGAUUAGCUAGUUGGUGGGGUAAAGGCCUACCAAGGCGACGAUCUGUAGCGGGUCUGAGAGGAUGAGCCGCAACACUGGGACUGAGACACGGCCCAGACUCCUACGGGAGGCAGCAGUGGGGAAUAUUGGACAAUGGGGGGAACCCUGAUCCAGCCAUGCCGCGUGUGUGAAGAAGGCCUUAUGGUUGUAAAGCACUUUAAGCGAGGAGGAGGCUACUCUAGUUAAUACCUAGGGAUAGUGGACGUUACUCGCAGAAUAAGCACCGGCUAACUCUGUGCCAGCAGCCGCAGUAA
rnacentral:rRNA from 1 species